CUUUGGGUGUUAGCAGCAGUGAAAAUUCUGCCACCUGUUACACAAGAGAAACUCCUUUGACUGCAGCAGAGUUGGAGAGGUAUACCUUAAUGAGGGGCAAUAAUGGCACGUUGCCAACUACACCAACGAAAACCAUAACGUCGUGGUUUUGGACUUGGCAAGGCAGAUGAAGGAGGAGGUGAUUUUCAAAAUCUUAGUUUUAAAAUGGAAAUAUUCUUCUCAUGUUAUGUCUACUCCAUAUAUGCAGUAUUCUGUUACUUAUUGCGGAUUAUAAUAGGAAAAUCUUCUUUUAAUUAAGAACUUCAGCAGCUCACCUUUAACUGCCAAUCAUUGGAUAAUUGGCCCUUUUCUAAUAGGCACUGCAGCUCAGGUAUGCUAAAGUGACUGUUUCUCAGAAUAACUUAGUGAUAGUAAGUUAUUUUUGGAACUCAUUUAUGAGAGAACAUAAUUAACUAUUCCAGGUCAUUAGGGAUACUGCAUUGCUUUUUUAAUCCUCUGACAGGUUCCUCCAGUUAUAUUAAUUCAUUAUUACUAUUCUCAACUUUCCAGGCAGAAAAGGAUGAGAAAGAAGCACUGAGCCAUUGUUGCCUUGCUGCACAAAGUAGCCAGUACUUCUCUGAGAAGAAAGGCAGCUUAGAUGAAUUUUAUCGUUUCAGCUGUGCAGGAGCAUAGCAGAAUGUCUUGGGGCGUUCAACCUGAGAGAUGACGCACUGUCUUUUGUCCACUGCCACGUGGCAGAACCUUUUAAGAGUGGUGACAGUACACCAGAGCUCAUCAGUGGAAGUAAAAAGGUCCCGUCCUUCACAGCAAAUGAGGAGACUUUGGUCCUGCAGUGUCAUAUGUAGCUUCUGCCUCAAACAGAACGUCUGAAUCGAUUGUAACCGGAGAUUUGUUUUUUCAAAGCUGUAAAACUGAAUGCAAUGGAACUGUCAGCUGAAAACCAGCAGCAUUGUAUCAGAGUAGAUUAAUAAUAAUGGACCUUUGCGAAAGCAGAGGACUUGAGAAUUAUUUUCCUUCUCAGAUCUUCUAACAAUACACUGCUUAGAACAGAGCUUUACAAGUGUUUGAAUUUGUGUUAUAAAGCUGCCUGAUUAGAGCUACUGAUUUUAUAGGUUCUCCAUUUUCUGAAGAAGCAGAAUAACUUAUGUACGUGAUUUUUAGACUUUCCAUGUACUGUUGCUAAGCACUUUAAACUAGCAUCUUUUAAAUGUUCACAACUACUAGUUCAAUUAUUCCUUCUUGUCAUAAUCAAAAGUAAAAACACAUUUAUGUCUUUUUCUAUAAAAGCAAAGAUACA
rnacentral:lncRNA from 1 species